rnacentral:rRNA from 1 species
CAAUAGCGUAUAUUAAAGUUGUUGCAGUUAAAAAGCUCGUAGUUGGAUUUCUGGUGGGAGCGAUCGGUCUGGCGCUUAGCGCGAGUACUUGCAUCGUCUCCGGCCAUCCUUGGGGAGAGUCUGUCUGGCAUUAGGUUGUCGGGCAGAGGAUCCUCAUCGUUUACUGUGAAAAAAUUAGAGUGUUCAAAGCAGGCUUAUGCCGUUGAAUAUAUUAGCAUGGAAUAAUAAGAUAGGACUUUGGUACUAUUUUGUUGGUUUGCGCACCAAAGUAAUGAUUAAUAGGGACAGUUGGGGGUAUUUGUAUUCCGUUGUCAGAGGUGGAAUUCUUGGAUUUACGGAAGACGAACUACUGCGAAAGCAUUUACCAAGGAUGUUUUCAUUAA